ACGGGUGAGUAAUGCUUAGGAAUCUGCCUAUUAGUGGGGGACAACAUUUCGAAAGGAAUGCUAAUACCGCAUACGUCCUACGGGAGAAAGCAGGGGAUCUUCGGACCUUGCGCUAAUAGAUGAGCCUAAGUCGGAUUAGCUAGUUGGUGGGGUAAAGGCCUACCAAGGCGACGAUCUGUAGCGGGUCUGAGAGGAUGAUCCGCCACACUGGGACUGAGACACGGCCCAGACUCCUACGGGAGGCAGCAGUGGGGAAUAUUGGACAAUGGGCGCAAGCCUGAUCCAGCCAUGCCGCGUGUGUGAAGAAGGCCUUAUGGUUGUAAAGCACUUUAAGCGAGGAGGAGGCUACUUUAGAUAAUACCUAGAGAUAGUGGACGUUACUCGCAGAAUAAGCACCGGCUAACUCUGUGCCAGCAGCCGCGGUAAUACAGAGGGUGCAAGCGUUAAUCGGAUUUACUGGGCGUAAAGCGCGCGUAGGCGGCUAAUUAAGUCAAAUGUGAAAUCCCCGAGCUUAACUUGGGAAUUGCAUUCGAUACUGGUUAGCUAGAGUGUGGGAGAGGAUGGUAGAAUUCCAGGUGUAGCGGUGAAAUGCGUAGAGAUCUGGAGGAAUACCGAUGGCGAAGGCAGCCAUCUGGCCUAACACUGACGCUGAGGUGCGAAAGCAUGGGGAGCAACAGGAUUAGAUACCCCUGGUAGUCCAUGCCGUAAACGAUGUCUACUAGCCGUUGGGGCCUUUGAGGCUUU
rnacentral:rRNA from 1 species